AAACGAACGCUGGCGGCAGGCUACACAUGCAAGUCGAACGAACUCUUCGGAGUUAGUGGCGCACGGGUGAGUAACGCGUGGGAAUGUGCCCCUUAGUACGGAACAACAGUUGGAAACGACUGCUAAUACCGUAUAAUAUCUACGGAUCAAAGAUUUAUCGCUAAGGGAUCAGCCCGCGUCUGAUUAGGUAGUUGGUGAGGUAAGAGCUCACCAAGCCGACGAUCAGUAGAUGGUUUGAGAGGAUGAUCAUCCACACUGGUACUGAGACACGGACCAGACUCCUACGGGAGGCAGCAGUGAGGAAUAUUAGACAAUGGGCGCAAGCCUGAUCUAGCCAUGCCGCGUGAGUGAAGAAGGCCUUCGGGUUGUAAAGCUCUUUCAGAUGUGAGGAUAAUGACAGUAACAUCAGAAGAAGCCCCGGCUAAAUUCGUGCCAGCAGCCGCGGUAAUACGAAUGGGGCAAGCGUUGUUUGGAAUCACUGGGCGUAAAGCGUACGUAGGCGGUUUUUCAAGUCAGGAGUGAAAUCCCAGGGGCUCAACCCUGGAACUGCUCUUGAAACUGGAUCACUAGAGUCCCGGAGAGGUUGGCGGAAUUCCGAGUGUAGACGGUGAAAUUCGCAGAUAUUCGGAGGAACACCAGUGGCGAAGGCGGCCAACUGGACGGGAACUGACGCUCAGGUACGAAAGCGUGGGGAGCAAACAGGAUUAGAUACCCUGGUAGUCCACGCCGUAAACGAUGU
rnacentral:rRNA from 1 species